rnacentral:rRNA from 1 species
GAUGAAGGCCUUCGGGUUGUAAAGCUCUUUCGGCCGGGACGAUAAUGACGGUGCCCGCAGAAGAAGCUCCGGCUGAUUUCGUGCCAGCAGCCGCCGUAAUACUUCGGGGCCUAGCGUUGCUCGGAAUUACUGGGGGUAAAGUUCUCGCAGGCUGCUUGCCAAAUCGGGGGUGAAAUGCCGGGGCUCAACCUGGGAGCUGACCCCCAGACUUAACCUCUUGAGUUCCUUAGAAGUUGGUGGAAUUCCGGGUGGAGAGGGGAAAUUCGAUUUUCUGGGUGAAGAACAAAAUUGGCGAAAGCGGCGCACUAGCCCGGUGCUGAAGCUUGAGGCCCGGAACCUUGGGGGGGCAAUCAGGGUUAAAAACCCCUGGGAGUCCAAGGCGGU